rnacentral:tRNA from 4 species
UAGAAGAUAGUUUAAGGUAAAAUGUUUAACUGUUAAUUAAAAGAUUUUUCUCUUAUAU